GGCGCUAUGCCAGAGUGGCAAUGGGUGAGACUUGAACCUUUUGCAUAAAACAACAUCUCAUGGCUUUAGCCUCCAGGGUUCGAACCCCUGUGGCGCCU